UACGGAGGGGGCUAGCGUUGCUCGGAUUGACUGGGCGUAAAGGGCGCGUCGGCGGUUCGUACAGUCAGACGUGAAAUUCCUGGGCUCAACCUGGGGGCUGCGUUUGAUACGUGCGGACUUGAGUGCGGAAGAGGGUCGUGGAAUUCCCAGUGUAGAGGUGAAAUUCGUAGAUAUUGGGAAGAACACCGGUGGCGAAGGCGGCGACCUGGUCCGAUACUGACGCUGAGGCGCGAAAGCGUGGGGAGCAAACAGG
rnacentral:rRNA from 1 species